UGAAGAGCUGCCCCGGUGCAAUUGCUCUCAAGCUGUGCGCUAUUUGGCAGUGCAGAAGAAGGGCGUCAUUUCAGCUGUGCUUUCCUCGCAGCUGUGCUGAAGCUGGGAUUGAUGUUGCAAUGUCUUGCAGGUGGGAGACCUGGUGUGCAUUCUUGCUAUGCCAGCAAAGGAGCUGAGCCCCUGGUGGAGAGGCAAGCGUGGCUUCCAGGUAGGCACAAGCUUCAGACUUGCGGGCGCAACGGCAGUCAAGUCAGGAAGGUCAGCUUCGAGCUGCUCGGCCUGCACAGGGUUGGCUUCUGGACGUAAACAGUUUCCCUGUGUCGGUGUCAGCGGCCUUUCCCUUUGGCUCUGGGCUUGGGUAGGAAACCGUCUCCUCAUGUGACUUAGAAGCAAGAGCCUCUCCUGCUCACUGCACAGUCAGGAGUUGACCAUGUCUGUCCUUUGUACAAGCACGGAGGACAGAGCCAUCUUCUGCGGAACCAAGUCUUGGUUUUGUAGGUCUUUUGGCUGCAAAUGUGGAAUGAGGGUUCCUUUUCUGCAGGCCAUUCUUUCUUGGUUUAACGGUGGAGGCCUGAGAAGUGCUGCAUUCAGUCUUCCAUCUCUCUUCUUGUUCUUGUUCCAGGUGGGAUUUUUCCCUGGUGAGUGCGUGGAGCUCAUCAACGGAAAAAUUCCUGAGGCCCUCAUCGAUUCAGCACCAAAGCCAGGUACGGAUGUUACAUGUGAUGGCGCG
ensembl:lncRNA